CGCACUGGCACCUAACGGCUCUUCUUCGAGUCUUCUCAGAGGUUGGAGAUUCCCUGUCUUCUCCAACCUCUGCCAAGUCUUCAGAGAGGUUGGAGUGCGCCUGUCGGAGGUACUAGACCCCAGAUGAGGAUCUCAGGAAGAUCCACAAAGCUGCGUCCAGGGGAACGAACGUGUGGAAGCUGCAGCGGAGCCUCCUGCUCAAGAGUAAAGGACCGGUCUGAAACCUACAAGAACAGAUUCUCACAGUAGACGAGGAGCCUGUUUUUCAGCUAGCUGCUGCAAGGAGCUGGACAUUUCUCCCUUCAAAUAGGACCUGGAAGGCCUGGAAGCAUCUGGAGAAGGGCAUGGCUGUGAGUAGAGAAACAGAGGAUACAGGCUAAAGCAGGAGGAAGCGAGAGGACUCACGGAAAGCCUUGCUGCACUCUCCAAAAGAGCUGCCCUUUUCACGUGAAGAGCUAUGUGAUCGGAUCCCCGGUUUGGCAGAGUAGACAUGCGAGAAGACUGAACGUUUCAUCGUUGAAACCUCUUAAAGGUGGAAUGUGUGGCAGAAAGAACGUCUGAGAAGCUCACGCGAUUUGCAGAAGGAACAUUUGUAGAAGAUUCCCUGUUUUCCGAAGGAAUGUCAAGUUCCAAAGAAGAACGUCCGAGAAGAUUCAGUGUUUGGCAGAAGAAACCUCUGUCAGACGUGAACGUGUGACAGAAGGGCCAUCCAGGAAGAUUGCACACUGGGCAGAAAGAAGACUUAAGAACAUUGCAUGGACAGCAGAAGGAGUGCUUCGGGAGAUUGCCUGGUGGGCGCCAGGAACACCUGAGAUGAUGUCAUGGCAAACAGUGGAAAUGAGAGAAAGAUGAUGGAGCUGCUAAACCUUGCCCAUUUUGAUCUGUUAUGUGAGACUUGCCUUUCGCCUUCUGUCAUGAUUGUGAAGUGUCCCCAGCCAUGUGGAACUGACACAUAUUGCUUGUCUCUGAACUUCUCAGCUGCCUGCAGAUCUUCCUGUUUUUCAGCUGCAGUUAGGGUUUGUCUGAGGAGAAGCAUAACAUCCCUCCAGGCCAAAUGCUCCACAAAUAAAUGUGUUGAAUGAAUGAACAAAUGAAUAAGCGAAGUGAAUGGAACAUCAAACUGCAUAAAAAUAUAUUUAUUCAUAAAUGAGAGGUGAUGAUUGCCAACAUAUCAUAAUCAGACUCUGACCUUGGUUACUUAUGAGUUUGACAACGAAGAGGAAAGAGGAUCAGAAUGGAUCUACAUUUGUCCUGUGUCAAUGGCUAUCCAGAAGCGGUAACUUUGCUGGUGCACAGAAAGUGCCAGCUUAACGUGUGUGACGGUGAAAACACGACACCUCUGAUGAAGAUAUAUAGUAGCCAGUUAUUUCAGCAUGAGAUGGAUUUGGUUUAAAUACAUAGAAUAAAAAUGGAUUUAUUUCAUUGAAAUGUAACUAAUUUGUGAACCUAUGGAAUAUUUAUUUGUAUUUUCUAGAAUUUACAAUGUGUUUCUUGGUCUAAUACUGACAGGCUAUACAAUGCCAAGAAGAUGUUUAUGCAACUAUUCUGCUGGACUUUGGUGCCUAUCCAGAUAUUACAGAUAUCAACAGAAAAACUGCUCUCCACUGUGCUGUCUAUAGUGAGAAUAUGUCAGUGGUGGCAAAACUGCUUUCACACAACACAAACAUCUAAGUGAAAAAUGGAGUAGAGAAUAACCAACAUUAUUUUCAAAAUAUUUGAAAUCCAUUUGCUUUAACACUGACAUGCGUUAGGGUCAGUUUUUCAUAUUUGGAAGCUCAAGCAUGCUCUUCUGUGAAUGAAAAUAUUCUGAAGUAACUGUCUAAUAAUUUAAAUAUUAAUGUUUUUAAAGAAGUAUUAGACGGUAUAGCUUUCUUUCAUGCAUUUAUGAUAAAUAUUUAAAUUUAUUAAAGGUAAAAGUUUGUUUUUCAAAUAUUUUAGCCACUCAAGUUUUUGUUCUUUCUAAUUAGUGUAAAACAACACAGAAAAGCAAAAUGUGCCUGCAUAAACUGAGUCAACAUGUAAACCUUUUGAUAUUUAUUAUUAAAUAAGUUAUUUGGCAAUGUAUCAAAUUUUUAAAUGUGUGUCCCUUUUGACCUAGAAAUUCUACUCCCAGGAAUUUCUCCUAAGAAGAUAAUCAGAAAAGUUUACAAAGAUGAAUAGAAAAGAAGAGUCACUGCAGCCUUAUUUGUAAAAGUGAAAAAUAGCAACAGCCCAAAUGUCAUGAAUGGAGAAUUAAUAUAUGGUGCAUCCAUACAAAAAUACUGUGCAGCGAGUAAGCCAAUGAAGCCCAAAAUUUCUGACAUGGACAUUGACAUAGCAGAGUGACAAUAACGAGGUUAUAAAACAUCAUCAGUGAAAGGUCUAUUUGUACAAAUUAAUUUUUUGAGUGUAUACUUAGGGUAUAUAAAAUGUAUUUGGUUAAUGUCAAAAUAAUUAUCUUUGCUUAAGUAAAAUUUGGGGGCAAUUUAAAUUUUUUAAUAUAUUUUCUUAUAUUGACCAGUUUUCUUAAAAAGUAGAUACUAUUUUUAUAAUCAUACAACAGCAAGAGAGGAGCUCUCAUACCUUCUCCAUUCUUCUGUAUUACCUAUUACAUAGUGAAUUUUUUUCUAAAAUUAAUACUGAAUAAAAGUU
rnacentral:lncRNA from 1 species